AUGUGCAAAUCAAAAUCGGGCGGAUCUUUACCCGGAGUAGAGCAUAAACCUAAAAAGAUGAAAGAGACCCAUUCAGGAACAAGAAAAUACCAUCGUGAUUUGGAUUGAAUCUCGAUGAAACAAUACAUCAAUGAGAAGUUAAUUCGAUAAGUUUAGUGACUUUUUUUCUAUUAUAAGGAAGAAAGAAGUUCAAAUUCGUCUUUAUUGAAAAAUCGAAGAAAAAGUCCUUUCAUUAGAAGUCAGAAAAAACCUGCUAUGAAAAAAGAAUAGGAACAAAGAAAG
rnacentral:lncRNA from 1 species